ncrna:unclassified sequences Mu-gpT-DE RNA
CCUUGACAGUCACAUGACGUGGCUGACAUUUGCCAAGACAAGGAGAUUGACAUG